AGGGUUUGAUCAUGGCUCAGAACGUACGCUGGCGGCACACCUUAUACAUGCAAGUCGAACGAAGUAGCAAUACUUAGUGGCAGACGGGUGAGUAACAUGUAGGUAUCUGCCCUUUGGCCUGGAAUAACACGAGGAAACUUGUGCUAAUACUGGAUAAGUCUUUACGGAGAAAGCUUUAUGCACCAUUGGAUGAGCCUGCACUUGAUUAGUUUGUUGGUGGGGUAAUGGCCUACCAAGACAAUGAUCAAUAGCUGAUUUGAGAGGAUGAUCAGCCACAUUGGAACUGAGACACGGUCCAAACUCCUACGGGAGGCAGCAGUAGGGAAUCUUGCACAAUGGAGGAAACUCUGAUGCAGCGAUGCCGCGUGAGUGAAGAAGGCCUUUGGGUUGUAAAGCUCUUUCGUCGGGGAAGAAAAUGACUGUACCCGAAUAAGAAGGUCCGGCUAACUUCGUGCCAGCAGCCGCGGUAAUACGAAGGGACCUAGCGUAGUUCGGAAUUACUGGGCUUAAAGAGUUCGUAGGUGGUUAAAAAAGUUGGUGGUGAAAUCCCAGAGCUUAACUCUGGAACUGCCAUCAAAACUUUUUAGCUAGAGUAUGAUAGAGGAAAGCAGAAUUUCUAGUGUAGAGGUGAAAUUCGUAGAUAUUAGAACGAAUACCGAUUGCGAAGGCAGCUUUCUGG
rnacentral:rRNA from 1 species